UGGGGAAUUUUCCGCAAUGGGCGAAAGCCUGACGGAGUAAUGCCGCGUGGAGGUGGAAGGCCUACGGGUCGUCAACUUCUUUUCUCGGAGAAGAAACAAUGACGGUAUCUGAGGAAUAAGCAUCGGCUAACUCUGUGCCAG
rnacentral:rRNA from 1 species